rnacentral:lncRNA from 1 species
CAUCGUCAACCCUUAAACUGGCCACACCUUUGUGUGGUAUACAUCAGUUUCUAAUUGUGACUGUUCUAUUAAUUGUCACACACACACACACACACACACACACACACACACACACACACACACACACACACACACACACACACACACAGAGCUAGUGUUGAAAGAGGAAGUGUGACAGAUAUCCCUUCCUCUUCUCCUCCUCACACUAAAUAUGUUCACAUUUAAACUCGUUCUGCUGACAGGCUUCACACACUCCUCUCAGAGGUUGGAUGAUAACAGCUCACACUGCAACGUGCACAAGUUUUGCUUGGAUUAAAAACAAAAAACAAUCCUGAGAGGUGCUGACCGUGUCCACUCACACAUAUGGAAGCUGUGAUAGGACUUCUGCUUGUGUUGCUCCAAGUUUCAUUUGGUGUGGAAAAUCACUGUGAUGGCAGACAGAAUAACGCUCAGUGUUAUGCAGCUUUGGAUGGAUCUAUAUUCAUCAGGCUGAUGGACAGCGCUGUAGAAAAUCAUACAUACAACUGGAAUAAAGAUAAAAGUAGAUUAUUGGUAGUGAAUAAUAAACGUGUUAUAACAAAUACUUUAGAGAAGAGAGCAGAUUUUACUACACAAAAUGGUAUUUAUAGAAUAAAUCAACUAAAGUCGAGUGACAGUGGCCAGUAUCGACUCGAAGUUUUUGUAGAUGGGGGAAAAAAAGAAGAAGAACGGAUACUAAAUUUGUCUGUUCAAGCUCCAGUAUCUUCUGUCCAGCUCGUCCCUACAUGUCUUUCUAUGGGGGAGAAGAAAGUUUCCUGCUCCUCUAAAGGGGACAGUCUUCUCUACAGCUGGACUCUGGAUGGACGUCCUCUGACAGACUCUGACCUCGUCCCAAAGGGCAGCAACACCAACAUUAUUCACCUGAAACUACAAACUGUAGGAAAACUGGUCUGUCAUGUCCAAAACAAUGUCAGCAAAAGCUCUGGUGAAGUGACGUUAACCACUUGUGGUUACAUCUUCAUAAACUGCACUUUGUCCAAUGGGACAGACAUAUUGCAGUGGGUGCUUGAGGCCACUAACACGUUGUGUGUUGACCCAACAACAGCCCCUAUGGGUGUGGAAAAUCACUGUGAUGGCAGACAGAAUAACGCUCAGUGUUAUGCAGCUUUGGAUGGAUCUAUAUUCAUCAGGCUGAUGGACAGCGCUGUAGAAAAUCAUAUAUACAUGUGGUUUAAAUAUACAAGUAAAUUAUUGGUAGUGAAUAAUAAACGUGUUAUAAUGAAUACUUUAGAGAAGAGAGCAGAUUUUACUACACAAAAUGGUAUUUAUAGAAUAAAUCAACUAAAGUCGAGUGACAGUGGCCAGUAUCGACUUGAAUAUUUUGUAGAUGGGGGAAAAAAAGAAGAACGGAAACUAAAUUUGUCUGUUCAAGCUCCAGUAUCUUCUGUCCAGCUCGUCCCUACAUGUCUUUCUAUGGGGGAGAAGAAAGUUUCCUGCUCCUCUAAAGGGGACAGUCUUCUCUACAGCUGGACUCUGGAUGGACGCCCUCUAACAGACUCUGACCUCGUCCCAAAGGGCAACAACACCAACAAUGUCCACCUGAAACUACAAACUAUAGGAAAACUGGUCUGUCAUGUCCAAAACAAAGUCAGCAAAAGCUCUGGUGAAGUGACGUUAACCACUUGUGGUUACAUCUUCAUAAACUGCACUUUGUCCAAUGGGACAGACAUAUUGCAGUGGGUGGUUGAGGACACUAACACGUUGUGUGUUGACCCAACAACAGCCCCUAUGGGUAAGGAGCCUCCCAUUGAUUCAGGGACUGUGGCUCUGAUUGGGAUUUCACUCUCUGCUCUGGUCUGUAUCCUCCUUUUGGCUUUAGUCGUGAUCUGUGUUCAGAAGAAAAAGCCAAACAAACCAAAAGAACCACAGGAUGACCAGGAAUUAACCUACGCGGCUGUCAAAGUGGUUCAGAGGCCAGGGACGCUAGAGGUGCACAGGUCAGAGGUGGAGGUGGAGUACGGCGAAGUCAAGUUUUCACAGCAACCUCGACAGAUUCAAGUACCGCCAGAUGACUGUGUGUAUGCCAGAGUCUAUAAAUGAAAACAGGGCGUGGCUCUUUUUAUCACAGACAGAGGGCACGACAUGAUCUCAGGUUGCUUGAAGGGCUUCCCUGUUUAAUGAUGAAAAAUCUGGGUGUCACCGUUGAGAGGACUCCAAACCCACAUCAAUAAUACUUUUUACCCCCUCUACCACUGCCAUUCUUGUACAUACUCUUGUCAAUCACUGAAACUCCUGAAACGCCAAUGUCCAGAAUUAGAGUUACCUGCUCCACUGAUGUUCUUUAAAAAUUUGCAUCAACUACAAAAUCCUCCUUCUGACAUUUAAGGUCAUCUUAAGGUCAUCUUCAAUGUCACCCCUCUAUAUCAGUCCAGACUGACCCACACCAUCAGCUCACUAAUGUUAUUCAAAAUGAAGCUAAAAACCCAUCUGUUCAGGAUGGCCUUUCUCUCUGGGAUCACAACUGCUGUAUCUAAUCUUGAUAUGUUGAAUGUAAUGUUCUUGCACUGCCUUUUCACAAUAAUUUUAUUGUAAACAUUCCAUGUAUAGUGACCCUAAGUGCUAGAAAGAAGCCUUUUAUGAAAAUAAUGACAAUAAUAAUGUAAUGAAAAGGAUGUGAAUAUUGUUUUUGUUUGUAUUCCUUAAUAAUUGUUUUUGGUUUAAUUUAAACCACACCCAUGGGAGGGGCUAACCUGUUAAAAGCAGUGUAGGAAACUGCAUAGAGGGCAGUCUUUCUCUGGAGGUGCAUGUGGGAGCAAUGUACCUGAGCAUUUCUGAAAGCCUCUCAGCUGAAAGUAGAGCUGGGACCAGGUUGUGUUUUUUUUUUUUUUCUCUUGAUGUAAAUAUUUGUGUUCCACUGUAAAUAUUGAGCACCGGCACCAUUUUUGGAAAAAUAAAUGAAAGUCGACUUGCCA